UUAGGGACUGUUAUGAAUUUUCUAAAAUCUAAACUGUCAUUCUCAUGGACAGAUUAUGUUUUGGCACUGUCAAGCUCACGGUUAAGUCUAGCUUAAAUCAUUAUAAUGAGAAAUUAAAGAACAGUACUUAUCCAUCUAAUCCACUCGUGUUUCUUGUCGUUUCUUGAAAUCAGGUGCAUAUAAUUAUAGGCAGGAAUCAUCUAAAUAUGUAUAGUAUUUAAUUAAUAGUGCUGCCCAAUAUGUUUAACUAAACAUGUAUAAAUACCGAAAUAUAAUGUACUAUACAGUGUAUAAACAUGACAUCAAUGGUGCAAAGUAAUAAACGGUCAAUACAUUAACAUAGUGGCACCCAACAACAACACUUGAAGAUUUUUUCCCCC
rnacentral:lncRNA from 1 species